CUCCGAUGAACUAUGAUGGCCAAUAUACACCGGUGGUGACCAACAUGGACAAACCACGGACUCUCCCUCCGUUCCUCAAGAAUUCUCUUUCAACCGGAAUAUCUCAAAAUCGCCGCGGUUCCUUGCUAGAAUUUCAGCAAUCGCUAAAUCUGCAUCACAGGUUUUGCCACACCCCUCAUGCAGACGAUGCAUUCCUUACAAGCUUCCUUAGUAGAAGUCGAGAAUAUCUUGUCUGCACCAAAUAGUGUUGGCAGCAGUACUCUACAACUAGAUACUAACCAGGAAACUGAGCUUCAGGGAGCUCUUACCUCUCUAUUUACAGAAUUGUGGAGAGAUACAUGGGCAAAAGAAGUCUCGAUUGAACGUCAGUCUAAAGAAGGAAACCCCAGAGGGUAUAAGGAAGCUUGCAUUACAGAUGUGUGCAUGCUUAACAAAAAGACGGGAUCUAGCUGCUCAGUUUAUUCGCGAUGGAUGAGUUUUAUAUCGAUCUGUCAAAGAACAAAAUGAACAACCAAAUCCGAGUUUAUUCUGGAGAAUGUUCAGAAAGACAUGAAACAAUCUCUUCCAACUUCACCACAGUGCUCCAGACGUACUCUUGUCCUUAAU